rnacentral:rRNA from 1 species
ACGUACACUCCUACGGGAGGCAGCAGUGGGGAAUAUUGGACAAUGGGCGCAAGCCUGAUCCAGCCAUGCCGCGUGAGUGAUGAAGGCCCUAGGGUUGUAAAGCUCUUUCACCGGUGAAGAUAAUGACGGUAACCGGAGAAGAAGCCCCGGCUAACUUCGUGCCAGCAGCCGCGGUAAUACGAAGGGGGCUAGCGUUGUUCGGAUUUACUGGGCGUAAAGCGCACGUAGGCGGACUAUUAAGUCAGGGGUGAAAUCCCGGGGCUCAACCCCGGAACUGCCUUUGAUACUGGUAGUCUUGAGUUCGAGAGAGGUGAGUGGAAUUCCGAGUGUAGAGGUGAAAUUCGUAGAUAUUCGGAGGAACACCAGUGGCGAAGGCGGCUUACUGGCUCGAUACUGACGCUGAGGUGCGAAAGCGUGGGGAGCAAACAGGAUUAGAAACCCUAGUAGUCCCAUGA